rnacentral:rRNA from 1 species
ACUACGGGUGGCUGCAGUGGGGAAUAUUGCACAAUGGGGGAAACCCUGAUGCAGCGACGCCGCGUGAGUGAAGAAGUAUUUCGGUAUGUAAAGCUCUAUCAGCAGGGAAGAAAAUGACGGUACCUGAUUAAGAAGCCCCGGCUAACUACGUGCCAGCAGCCGCGGUAAUACGUAGGGGGCAAGCGUUAUCCGGAUUUACUGGGUGUAAAGGGAGCGUAGACGGCAGCACAAGUCUGGAGUGAAAGGGCGGGGCUUAACCCCGGAACUGCUGUGGAAACUGUGCAGCUAGAGUGCAGGAGAGGUAAGUGGAAUUCCUAGUGUAGCGGUGAAAUGCGUAGAUAUUAGGAGGAACACCAGUGGCGAAGGCGGCUUACUGGACUGUAACUGACGUUGAGGCUCGAAAGCGUGGGGAGCAAACAGGAUUAGAUACCCUGGUAGUC